rnacentral:misc_RNA from 1 species
GAUGAAGAACGCAGCGAAAUGCGAUAAGUAAUGUGAAUUGCAGAAUUCAGUGAAUCAUCGAAUCUUUGAACGCACAUUGCGCCCGCCAGCACUCUGGCGGGCAUGCCUGUUCGAGCGUCAUUUCAACCAUCAAGCCCCCAGGGGCUUGUGCUGGGGCCCUGCGGCUGCCCGCAGGCCCUGAAAACCAGUGGCGGGCUCGCUAGUCACACCGAGCGCAGUAGCACAUCUCGCUCAGGGCGUGACAGCUUGUACCGGCCGUGAAACUCUCACUAAGGUUGACCUCGGAUCAGGUAGGAAUACCCGCUGAACUUAAGCAUAUCAAUAAGCGGAGGA